rnacentral:lncRNA from 1 species
GGGCAUGUCAAAAUUUCUCCAGGGCCCCAAAACAUCAUCAGACCCUAGAGGGUUAACGCUUUGUAAGCCUAAUGUACCACAAACAGUCAUUAAAGACGAUUGAAGAAUAAAAACCAACCUCCUUGUUCCUCGUGUUUUAUUCUCCGGGUUUCUGGUUCCUCGUGUUUUAUUCUCCAGGGUUCUGGAUCCUCGUGUUUUAUUCUGCAGGGUUCUGGAUCCUCGUGUUUUAUUCUGCAGGGUUCUGGAUCCUCGUGUUUUAUUCUGCAGGGUUCUGGAUCCUCGUGUUUUAUUCUGCAGGGUUCUGGAUCCUCGUGUUUUAUUCUGCAGGGUUCUGGAUCCUCGUGUUUUAUUCUGCAGGGUUCUGGAUCCUCGUGUUUUAUUCUGCAGGGUUCUGGAUCCUCGUGUUUUAUUCUGCAGGGUUCUGGAUCCUCGUGUUUUAUUCUGCAGGGUUCUGGAUCCUCGUGUUUUAUUCUGCAGGGUUCUGGAUCCUCGUGUUUUAUUCUGCAGGGUUCUGGAUCCUCGUGUUUUAUUCUGCAGGGUUCUGGAUCCUCGUGUUUUAUUCUGCAGGGUUCUGGAUCCUCGUGUUUUAUUCUGCAGGGUUCUGGAUCCUCGUGUUUUAUUCUGCAGGGUUCUGGAUCCUCGUGUUUUAUUCUGCAGGGUUCUGGAUCCUCGUGUUUUAUUCUGCAGGGUUCUGGAUCCUCGUGUUUUAUUCUGCAGGGUUCUGGAUCCUCGUGUUUUAUUCUGCAGGGUUCUGGAUCCUCGUGUUUUAUUCUGCAGGGUUCUGGAUCCUCGUGUUUUAUUCUGCAGGGUUCUGGAUCCUCGUGUUUUAUUCUGCAGGGUUCUGGAUCCUCGUGUUUUAUUCUGCAGGGUUCUGGAUCCUCGUGUUUUAUUCUGCAGGGUUCUGGAUCCUCGUGUUUUAUUCUGCAGGGUUCUGGAUCCUCGUGUUUUAUUCUGCAGGGUUCUGGAUCCUCGUGUUUUAUUCUGCAGGGUUCUGGAUCCUCGUGUUUUAUUCUGCAGGGUUCUGGAUCCUCGUGUUUUAUUCUGCAGGGUUCUGGAUCCUCGUGUUUUAUUCUGCAGGGUUCUGGAUCCUCGUGUUUUAUUCUGCAGGGUUCUGGAUCCUCGUGUUUUAUUCUGCAGGGUUCUGGAUCCUCGUGUUUUAUUCUGCAGGGUUCUGGAUCCUCGUGUUUUAUUCUGCAGGGUUCUGGAUCCUCGUGUUUUAUUCUGCAGGGUUCUGGAUCCUCGUGUUUUAUUCUGCAGGGUUCUGGAUCCUCGUGUUUUAUUCUGCAGGGUUCUGGAUCCUCGUGUUUUAUUCUGCAGGGUUCUGGAUCCUCGUGUUUUAUUCUGCAGGGUUCUGGAUCCUCGUGUUUUAUUCCGCAGGGUUCUGGAUCCUCGUGUUUUAUUCUGCAAGGUUCUGGUUCCUCGUGUUUUAUUCUGCAGGGUUCUGGUUCCUCGUGUUUUAUUCUGCAGGGUUCUGGUUCCUCGUGUUUUAUUCUGCAGGGUUCUGGUUCCUCGUGUUUUAUUCUGCAGGGUUCUGGUUCCUCGUGUUUUAUUCUGCAGGGUUCUGGUUCCUCGUGUUUUAUUCUCCAGGGUUCUGGAUCCUCGUGUUUUAUUCUCCAGGGUUCUGGUUCCUCGUGUUUUAUUCUGCAGGGUUCUGGAUCCUCGUGUUUUAUUCUGCAGGGUUCUGGUUCCUCGUGUUUUAUUCUGCAGGGUUCUGGUUCACUGGUGUUCUCCUCUCUCUCCUCUUUAACAAACACCAUCUUCACAGCAGCAGAUCUCAGUUCAGAUGAUAGUCCUCCAGAUAUUCCUGCUUGCUUCAAAACUUAGUCAUGACUGUGAGGAUGAGAAUAUUACAGUUGUUUACUGAUCUGAUUCAAAAACUGUAUUUUUCUACUUACAGAAACAAC